GCCGGGCGUGGUGGCACACUCCUGUAGUCCCAGCUACUCCGGAGGCUGAGACCGGAGGAUCACUUGAGUCCGGGAGUUCUGGGCUGUAGGGUGUUAUGCGGAUCAGGUGUCUGCAUUAAGUUCGGCAUCAAUUUGGUGCCUUCCCGGAGCGGGGGUCCACCUAUUUGCCUAAGGAGGGGUGAACCGGCCCAGGUCGGAAGCGGAGCAGGUCAAAACUCCCGUGCUGAUCAGAGUCGCCGUCACAGCUGCACAAAGCUGAGUCUGCACCCACAUGGUCUCCACUGGGUGCACACU
rfam:Mesocricetus auratus contig173286, whole genome shotgun sequence.